rnacentral:lncRNA from 1 species
GGCUUUCUAACGCAGCGUUAUGCAGCACAGGCGGCACCAACAGCCUGCCACGGGAUGGCAUGGCAUGGAGUGCUGAUAAAACCAGGAUGAUAGUGUCAUACCAGGCACUCUAAAGGAAACAAUUCCAUCUCAGAUGAAACAAAGGCGGGCAGGCAUUUGGGAGGGCUGCACGACUGAGGGAUGCCUUCUGAGUGCAACAUCAGGAGAACUUGGAGCACUGCCUCAAAGAAGAACAGUGCUGGGCACUGCGGCAGGCCCAGGGUGCGCUGGUGGAGCUGGCACACCGCCUCUGCUCUCAUGCGCCCUCUGAGCCUUCUCCCCAUUGCGCUCCCCCUUCACUUGUUUCUUGGCAGGCUCCAGCUCUGCUUUUGGCUUCUCUUCCAAGCCCUUGGGCUUUCUUCCAGACAGGGUCUUGGAGAAAGACUGGAUGUCAACUGCAGGGGAAGGUCUUCCUCCUGUGCUGGGCCCGCUCUUCCACGAAGCCCUCCAGCCUGGAGACGAGCUCCCUCAGAACGGACUUAAUUCACCGCUUGCACAUAGAUCUUGCCAUUUGGCUCAGCACCUCUCCCUGUUAUAAUCAAGAAGGAGAAGCAACAAGAUUUAAAGAGAGUGCAGCACUGCUUUUGCUCUGCAAAAUGGGCCCCAGUACUAGGAAAUGUGCUCUUGAGUGUUCGUGGUAAUGGAUCUUAAGAUCUUGGGUGAAUUGUGGGUUCCCAUUUCAAAUCAGGACAGGAAAGGUAACUGUAAAUCCCAGGGAUUAAGACCUCAAACAGCACGCAACAAGAACAGUCCCAGGAAAGAACAGAUGGAAAGCCUAACUAGAAAGACAGUGCAUCAAACCCAGAUGCCUGUUGUGUAUCUGUACCUCUCCUGGGUGCCGUGCCAUGCUCCGUGCUCCUGCACGUGGCCUGCCCCAGCGCCGAGUAAGCAGCUACGGACCUCAAAGCUCAGAGGGAAGAAGAUGCUGUGGUACCUGCCCUGCAAGAAGACAAAGACAAAAAGAGAAGAGAGCGGAAAUGAAGAAGGCUUCUCUCAGAGCUGCCGCUGCACAUGCAGAGGUGAGUCCUUGGUGAACACAGACAAGCGCGCUUGUUGUUCUCAGGGCCUCUGUCUGUCAGACAUGGAUGAGAUUGUGAAGGCCUGAGGGAAGUGGUGUCCUGUUUUUACACUUCCUUUGUUUCUUUCUGGUCCUCCGCAGUGAACAGCCUUGUGGAGCUGAUGCAGAAGCUGCAGCUGAAGGACUGAGAGGAGGAGCAGCAGAAGGCAGCGGCUGCUGUACCCCUUUCUUUCCCCCUUGCUUCCCCAUGCCUUCCCCCUGCAACGCCCUGCUGUUCUGCUGCUACUGUCACCUGUCAUUAAAAAAACACUUUUCGAACACAUUGGAUCAGACCGCAUACUCUCCCUGUUUAUAAAAGCAGUAAAACAAGGAAUAUAUUAUUAUGUAUUGAUGAACUCCCACCUGCUUGAAGACCAAUAGCAGCUUCUCAUUCUGGAUUAACUCCUGAACACAACCUGGACUCCAUGCAUGGAUUUGGUAUCAGCAGUGGCUCUGCAAUAUUGGGUCUGAGUCUUCAGCUUCCACUUCAAGUUCUAGUGUAAUUUAGGACACCAAAAAUGUGUAACCACUCCUUUCAAAACGAAAUAUAUAAGAAGAAAAUACACUUAGAAAAAAUGAUGAACAUCUAACUACAAUUCUGGAUAAAAGUAUGCUACAAUUUUAGAGGUGAGCUUUUGGGAUGCUCCUUUCUCAGAGCAACAUGGCUGUGUGUUGUAUCAGGCGUGUUACAGGGCACUCGGGUAUGUGACGGGGAAGGUCCUUCCUCAUAUGCUUCCUAUUGGUUCACCUACUUUACUUGAACCCGCGACGUAAGAAGGAGAGGCUGUCCUUCUUUGUUUUCAUAACAAGGUGUAUAACAACUCCGUGUAUGGCCUUUCGGAAGUGAGUGGCCAGAGCGGGAUAUUCAAUAUGAUUGGCCAGGAGCCUGCGUGAGCUUCUGGAACAGUCUAGUAAAAGAUAAGAUAUACUAUAUAGUUUUGUAGCUUUUAACAAUAAAAGUCAUUUUGCCGCUCA